UGGCUCAGAACGAACGCUGGCCGCGUGCCUAACACAUGCAAGUCGCACGAGAAAGGGGCUUCGGCUCUGAGUAAAGUGGCCCACGGGUGAGUAACACGUGAAUUAUCUACCUUCGAGUGGGGAAUAACUGAGAGAAAUCUCGGCUAAUACCGCAUAACACUUACGAGUCAAAGCAGCAAUGCGCUUGAAGAGGAGUUCGCGGCAGAUUAGUUAGUUGGCGGGGUAAUGGCCCACCAAGACGAUGAUCUGUAUCCGGCCUGAGAGGGCGCACGGACACACUGGAACUGAAACACGGUCCAGACUCCUACGGGAGGCAGCAGUGGG
rnacentral:rRNA from 1 species